rnacentral:rRNA from 1 species
UACGUAGGGGGCUAGCGUUGUCCGGAAUCAUUGGGCGUAAAGAGCGUGUAGGCGGCCCGGUAAGUCCGCUGUGAAAGUCGGGGCUCAACCCUCGAAUGCCGGUGGAUACUGUCGGGCUAGAGUGCGGAAGAGGCGAGUGGAAUUCCUGGUGUAGCGGUGAAAUGCGUAGAGAUCGGAAAGAACACCAACGGCGAAAGCACUCUGCUGGGCCGACACUGACACUGAGAGACGAAAGCUAGGGGAGCGAAUGGG